GCAUUAAUGGGGUAGUGGUAACCUGGGUCGUUGCCAUAUGGGUUCAACUCGAAUUCUUCGACCCGCCGGGGGUUCGAUUCCCCCUUAAUGCA
rfam:Fistulina hepatica ATCC 64428 unplaced genomic scaffold FISHEscaffold_433, whole genome shotgun sequence.